rnacentral:rRNA from 1 species
GAAACUUAAAUGAAUUGACGGGGACCCGCACAAGCAGCGGAGCGUGUGGUUUAAUUCGUUGCUACACGAAGAACCUUACCUGGGUUUGACAUAUAGGUUGUAGGGAACUGAAAGGGACCGACCCUUCGGGGAGCCUAUACAGGUGUUGCAUGGCUGUCGUCAGCUCGUGUCGUGAGAUGUUCGGUUAAGUCCGCUAACGAGCGCAACCCUCGUCGUAUGUUAUAUGUGUCAUACGAGACUGCCGGUAAAAGCCGGAGGAAGGUGAGGAUGAUGUCAAGUCAGCAUGACCUUUAUAUCCAGGGCUACACACACGCUACAAUGGUCUGUACAAUGGGUAGCCAAGCCGCGAGGCGGAGCCAAUCCUGAAAGCAGGCCUCAGUUCAGAUUGCAGUCUGCAACUCGACUGCAUGAAGCCGGAGUUGCUAGUAACCGCAGGUCAGCAAUACUGCGGUGAAUACGUUCCCGGGUCUU